CACCUCCAGCAUCCCUAGUAUUGGAGGCACUGCCUGCCCAGUGACUAAACGUUAAACGGCCGCGGUAUUCUGACCGUGCAAAGGUAGCAUAAUCAUUUGUUCUCUAAAUAAGGACUUGUAUGAAUGGCCACACGAGGGUUUUACUGUCUCUUACUUCCAAUCAGUGAAAUUGACCUCCCCGUGAAGAGGCGGGGAUAAAUCAACAAGACGAGAAGACCCUAUGGAGCUUUAACUAAGUAACUCAAGGAAAAUAAAUUCAACCACCAAGGGAUAACAACACUCCUUAUGAGUUAACAGUUUCGGUUGGGGUGACCUCGGAGAACAGAAAAUCCUCCGAGCGAUUUUAAAGACUAGACUAACAAGUCAAACCAAACCAUCGCUUAUUGAUCCAAAAACUUGAUCAACGGAACAAGUUACCCUAGGGAUAACAGCGCAAUCCUAUUCAAGAGUCCAUAUCGACAAUAGGGUUUACGACCUCGAUGUUGGAUCAGGACACCCCGAUGGUGCAACCGCUAUCAAAGGUUCGUUUGUUCAACGAUUAAAGUCCU
rnacentral:rRNA from 1 species